rnacentral:rRNA from 1 species
GAUUGCCACAUUCCACCCUGAGCACACCAGACUCAUCUGACUUCUGAAGUGUAGCGAGGUCAGGUCUGGUUAGAAUUUGGAUGGGAGACCAUAUCACCAGGGGUUACCAUGG